ACAGGUAGAGAUUCCUGUACCAGUGCUAAUUGUUUAACCGAUGGGGUGACACAGAAGGAUAGGGAAUCGCACGAAUGGAAAUGUGCGGCCAAGCAGUGAGUGUGAGAAGUAGGCAAAUCCGCUUCUCGCGAAGCAUGAGCUGUGAUGGGGAAGGAAAAC
rnacentral:rRNA from 1 species